GUACUUACCUAGCAGGGGAGAUACCAUGAUCACAAAAGUGGUUUUCCCAGGGUGAGGCUUAUCCAUUGCACUCCGGAUGUGCUGACCACUGCAGUUUCCCCAAAUGUGGGAAACUCAAAUGCACAAUUUGUGGUACUGGGGAAUUGCGUUCAUGCUCUCCCCUA